rnacentral:rRNA from 1 species
GACAAGAAUACCCGCUGAAUUUAAGCAUAUAACUAGGCGGAGGAAAAGAAACUAACCAGGAUUCCCUCAGUAACUGCGAGUGAAGCGGGAAAAGCUCAGACUGAAAAUCUUCGGAAUUGUAGUCUGGAGAAGUAUGGUCAGCCGAUAAUGAUGGGUAAAGUCUUCUGGAAAGGAGCGCCAUGGAGGGUGAUAGCCCCGUUCAUACCUAUUAUUAGAAGCGUACGACCUGCUUUCUACGAGUCGAGUUGUUUGGGACUGCAGCUCUAAGUGGGUGGUAAAUUCCAUCUAAGGCUAAAUACUGGCGAGAGACCGA